UCUACCUGCUUGUCAGUCCCCCUAGGAAGGCUCCUACUCUAAUCUGUUAAGAUACAGCUGCUAUAUAGCAAACCAAGGAGAAGUCAGGGAGGGAUCUGGACUAAUUUAAGAACAGCCCAAUUAUAUCAAAAUCAUACAUUGGUUCUGAGCAUGCUCAGAGCUGUGAAAGUAAAAUGCUGGACUAGAGCUUGGAAGUAAUUCAUUACUUUUUUGAGGAAUGAGCGGUCAGACCUACAUCUGAAGCACUUUACCAGCUGCAACUGGAAUCUGAAGAAAGGCAUGUGAUGACUAGGGAGAGAGCCUUUGUGGUGGUAGCCCCUUGUCUGUGAAAUGCCCUUCCCAUGAAGGCUUGCCUAGUAUUCACUUUACUAUCAAUUUGGUGCCAGGUGCCUUUUUUGCUCAAGAAUUCCCAAUAAACCAAAACAGUGUUAUUCAUCUAAAGUGGUCCCUUGCUGAAGUCUAUAAAGAAGGUGCCCAGAUGUAAAUUUGAUGAGGACAAGAUAUAGCCUCCCCCUCCUGCAAAAAAUAAGUUGCUUGGUGGGGUUUUUUUAAUAACACCAUCUGUCACUGUAGCACAUGCCAAACUGCAAUAUUUAUUUUGUCACUUAAGGGAAUAGUAUGAUAUUUAGGAUUAUAAAUAACAUUUUUCAUUGCUGUGCUCAUGCCCUUAGUUUUAUAGAUGGUGCCUGAACUCCAGAAACCAGCACUUCAUUUCUGUCAUUCAAGAUCCCUAGCAAUUCUGUUUAGAUAAUUAAGAAUAAUACAUCUUCUACAUUUUAUUGUUACUGUUCAUACAUUUCAAUAAAAAUAUUUUUUAAAGAA